rnacentral:rRNA from 1 species
UACGUAGGGGGCAAGCGUUGUCCGGAAUCAUUGGGCGUAAAGCGCGUGUAGGCGGCCAGAAAAGUCCGCUGUGAAAACUCGAGGCUCAACUUCGAGCUGUCGGUGGAAACUUUCUGGCUAGAGUCCGGAAGGGGCGAGUGGAAUUCCUGGUGUAGCGGUGAAAUGCGCAGAUAUCAGGAGGAACACCUAUGGCGAAGGCAGCUCGCUGGGACGUGACUGACGCUGAGACGCGAAAGCGUGGGGAGCAAACAGG